AUGGAAAAGCAUGAGAGUUUGGAGCGCAACUCGAAGACUCGAGAGUCCGAGCUUGCAUCGGCUCUUGAGAGCGCCAAAGCCGCUAAGGCCGAAGCCCACAAGGCCCUUCAGGAGAUCGAGGCAUUGAAGAAAAUAGCGCCAGGAGCGUUCGCAGAUUUGCCCCGCAGCGUGUCCGAUGCUGCCACUUUCUACAGAGCCGAGGAGGGGAGCUCGACGGAGAAGGUCUUCUGGUCUCAGUAUGCUGAGGCCGGACAUCCGGUGCCCCUUAGCGACCAGCUGAAGCAGCUGGUCGAGCUCCACAAGGUGGCCGAACAAGCCAUGAAGAGCCUCAUAGUUCGGCUGUGGCCCAAUGAGGCCAUGCCUGGGAGCUACUUCGGCCUGGUGCGGCGGCUGGUGGAUGCUUGUCCAUGGGUUGAGGUCAUCAAGCGAUCCGCCUGUAUUGAAGGUGCCCGUCAGGCCCUUGCCCGUGCUAAGGUGCACUGGGGUAAGAUGGAUGCUGAAAAGCUUGUGACGGACGCACCACCGCCGGGCAAGGAGUAUCGCACGCCCGAGAUGUAUUACAAGAGUGUCCUGAAGGGUGCCCGCACUAUUGCGGGUGAGUGCUCCAAUAAUGUAAUAUUUGAGUAG
rnacentral:rRNA from 1 species